rnacentral:rRNA from 2 species
UCAUCGGCCUCAGAUUGGUAGGACUACCCGCUGAACUUAAGCAUAUCAAUAAGCGGAGGAAAAGAAACUAACAAGGAUUCCCCUAGUAACGGCGAGUGAAGAGGGAAGAGCCCAAGAUUGAAAGCUGGCGUCUUCGGCGUCCGCAUUGUAAUCUCAAGAAGUGUUUUCCGCUUCGGACCAAGCCUAAGUCCCUUGGAAAAGGGCAUCAUAGAGGGUGAUAAUCCCGUACAUGGCUUGGAGCGCCCGAAGCUUUGUGAUACGCUUUCUAAGAGUCGAGUUGUUUGGGAAUGCAGCUCAAAAUGGGUGGUAAAUGCCAUCUAAGGCUAAAUAUUGGGGAGAGACCGAUAGCGAACAAGUACAGUGAUGGAAAGAUGAAAAGAACUUUGAAAAGAGAGUUAAACAGUACGUGAAAUUGCCAAAAGGGAAGGGUAGGAGGUCAGAGAUGCGGCCUGGGAUUCAGCCUUGCUUUUGCUUGGUGUUUUUCCCAGAUUGCAGGCCAACGUCGGUUUUGGGCACUGGAGAAGGGUAGGAGGAACGUGGCACCUCUCGGGGUGUGUUAUAGCCUCCUACUGGAUACAGCGACCGAGACCGAGGACAGCAGCGUACUCGCAAGAGCGGGCCUUCGGGCACCUUUACGCUUAGGGC